GCCAGGUGUGGUGGGGCGCACCUGUAAUCCCAGCUACUCAGGAGGCUGAGGCAGAAGAAUCACUUGAACCCAGGAGAUGGAGGUUGCAGUGAGCCGAGAUCACGUCACUGCACUCUAGCCUGGGCAAUAGAGUGAGACUCUGUCUCCA
ensembl:misc_RNA Metazoa_SRP Metazoan signal recognition particle RNA